rnacentral:rRNA from 1 species
UACGGAGGGGACUAGCGUUGUUCGGAAUUACUGGGCGUAAAGCGCACGUAGGCGGAUUUGUAAGUCAGGGGUGAAAUCCUGGAGCUCAACUCCAGAACUGCCCUUGAUAUUGGCGAUCUCGAGUUCGGGAGAGGUGAGUGGAACUGCGAGUGUAGAGGUGAAAUUCGUAGAUAUUCGCAAGAACACCAGUGGCGAAGGCGGCUCACUGGCCCGAUACUGACGCUGAGGUGCGAAAGCGUGGGGAGCAAACAGG